GAAGGGGGCUAGCGUUGCUCGGAAUUACUGGGCGUAAAGGGAGCGGAGGCGGACAUUUAAGUCAGGGGUGAAAUCCCGGAGCUCAACUCCGGAACUGCCCUUGAUACUGGAUGUCUUGAGUGUGAGAGAGGUAUGUGGAACUCCGAGUGUAGAGGUGAAAUUCGUAGAUAUUCGGAGGAACACCAGUGGCGAAGGCGACAUACUGGCUCAUUACUGACGCUGAGGCUCGAAAGCGUGGGGAGCAAA
rnacentral:rRNA from 1 species